AAACACUUUCUGCGGGUCCAUUUCUCUUCGUCGAUGGACAAGCAUUCCACACACUGCGGGACGCCGUCCAACUUUGUCACCGUUUUCACGUGCAAGCGGUGAAAAAGGUUGCUAGAUAUAUCUUUGUUUGAACAAAACAUGGUACUAUGCUUUCCCUCAACACCAAAGAAAUUGGCAAUGAGCAUUGCUUGUUUUGCCUCUGGGACUGCCAUGUUAGCUUAUGGGGUUCAUCUUUCUUAUGUCAAUGUUGCUCCCCAGCAAGCUCGAAUCAAAGCUCGCAAUGACUUCGUCAAAGAGGUAUUGAGAAAGAAGUAUGGUUACAUUCCGCCACAGCAAGCCCGGAGUAUAGCUCGCAGUGAUUUGCUCAAGGACACAUUUAAAAGAUCUGGUUUUAAUAAAUGAACAAGGUUCGGAUGGCUUUUGUUCUGAUUCUUGCUCCUUAUUUAUUUUUGACUUGUAAAAGAAUGGAUGGAAUGCUUACCAUUGCCAAGCAGCAAUCAUCAUCCCUGCUUUGAAAAUAUUUGUAGGUGGACUAAGAUUGCCUAUUUGGUUUUGUUUUUGAUUGGGAGUGUUCAAGGCAUGCCUUCCUUUCUGAGACACAGCAAGUGUUGCAAGCAGAAAUAUGUAUGCCUAUGGAGGAAGACUUUGUGGAGUUGAUGGAUAUACUCUACUGGUCCUUGCCUUGUCCCUUGAGUUUCUUCUCCGAAUUUUUUAUUAUUGCUAAGAUUAUCAUGGUACAAAAUAUUUCAUGUCUUGGUGAUUGUAACAUUUUUUUUUAAAUAAAUAUAGAUGUGAACAUAAAUCAUGACUCAAAUUGAGUAGUUUGUUGUAUAUUGUAUACUCUGGUAUAGAAUAUAUGCAUUUUCUUCUUGUUAA